rnacentral:rRNA from 1 species
CGGCUCAGGACGAACGGCUGGCGGCGUGCCUAAUACAUGCAAGUCGAACGCUUCUUUUUCCACCGGAGCUUGCUCCACCGGAAAAAGAAGAGUGGCGAACGGGUGAGUAACACGUGGGUAACCUGCCCAUCAGAAGGGGAUAACACUUGGAAACAGGUGCUAAUACCGUAUAACAAUCGAAACCGCAUGGUUUUGAUUUGAAAGGCGCUUUCGGGUGUCGCUGAUGGAUGGACCCGCGGUGCAUUAGCUAGUUGGUGAGGUAACGGCUCACCAAGGCCACGAUGCAUAGCCGACCUGAGAGGGUGAUCGGCCACAUUGGGACUGAGACACGGCCCAAACUCCUACGGGAGGCAGCAGUAGGGAAUCUUCGGCAAUGGACGAAAGUCUGACCGAGCAACGCCGCGUGAGUGAAGAAGGUUUUCGGAUCGUAAAACUCUGUUGUUAGAGAAGAACAAGGAUGAGAGUAACUGUUCAUCCCUUGACGGUAUCUAACCAGAAAGCCACGGCUAACUACGUGCCAGCAGCCGCGGUAAUACGUAGGUGGCAAGCGUUGUCCGGAUUUAUUGGGCGUAAAGCGAGCGCAGGCGGUUUCUUAAGUCUGAUGUGAAAGCCCCCGGCUCAACCGGGGAGGGUCAUUGGAAACUGGGAGACUUGAGUGCAGAAGAGGAGAGUGGAAUUCCAUGUGUAGCGGUGAAAUGCGUAGAUAUAUGGAGGAACACCAGUGGCGAAGGCGGCUCUCUGGUCUGUAACUGACGCUGAGGCUCGAAAGCGUGGGGAGCAAACAGGAUUAGAUACCCUGGUAGUCCACGCCGUAAACGAUGAGUGCUAAGUGUUGGAGGGUUUCCGCCCUUCAGUGCUGCAGCUAACGCAUUAAGCACUCCGCCUGGGGAGUACGACCGCAAGGUUGAAACUCAAAGGAAUUGACGGGGGCCCGCACAAGCGGUGGAGCAUGUGGUUUAAUUCGAAGCAACGCGAAGAACCUUACCAGGUCUUGACAUCCUUUGACCACUCUAGAGAUAGAGCUUCCCCUUCGGGGGCAAAGUGACAGGUGGUGCAUGGUUGUCGUCAGCUCGUGUCGUGAGAUGUUGGGUUAAGUCCCGCAACGA